GAUGAAGAACGUAGUGAAAUGCGAUAAGUAAUGUGAAUUGCAGAAUUCAGUGAAUCAUCGAAUCUUUGAACGCACAUUGCGCCCCUUGGUAUUCCGGGGGGCAUGCCUGUUCGAGCGUCAUUUCAACCCUCAAGCUCAGCUUGGUAUUGAGUCCAUGUCAGUAAUGGCAGGCUCUAAAAUCAGUGGCGGCGCCGCUGGGUCCUGAACGUAGUAACAUCUCUCGUUACAGGUUCUCGGUGUGCUUCUGCCAAAACCCAAAUUUUCUAUGGUUGACCUCGGAUCAGGUAGGGAUACCCGCUGAACUUAAGCAUAUCAAUAAGCGGAGGA
rnacentral:misc_RNA from 1 species